rnacentral:rRNA from 1 species
GCUAACUCGGGGCAAGGGGCCGCGGGAAUACGGAGGGUGGUAGCGUUAAUCGGAAGUACUGGGCGUAAAGCGUGCGCAGGAGGCUGAUUAAGUCAGAUGUGAAAUCCCUAGGCUCAACCUAGGAACUGCAUUUGAAACUAAUAAACUAGAGUAUCGUAGAGGGAGGUAGAAUUCCAGGUGUAGCGGUGAAAUGCGUAGAUAUCUGGAGGAAUACCAGUGGCGAAGGCGACCUCCUGGACGAAAACUGACGCUCAAGCACGAAAGCAUGGGGAGCAAACAGGAUUAGAUACCCGAGUAGUC